rfam:Schistosoma curassoni strain Dakar, Senegal genome assembly, scaffold: SCTD_scaffold0006895
AUCAGUCUGACGAGUCCCAAAUAGGGCGAAACACGUGUCCUGGAU